UCGACUUGCCUAAGGCCCAUAGCACCUUGGAGGCAGGGCAGAUGCUAUAGCUUCAACAUGUUGGCUGGGCCAGGCUCUCAGCAGAAGGGCUGUGACCAAGCUGAUCAGGUCUAGUUCCGGACAGCGAUGGUCCACCCCUCCCACUACAGCCGACGGGCCAGCCAGUGACACCCCAGUUCAGCACUGCCUGGUCGUCACUCUUGCAGAAACAAGAUGAGCUGAAAAACGUUGACGCUUUCUGGAGGGCUCAUGGGAACUGCUAUUGUGGAAUCCAGCAUUUCUUCAUCAUGUUACUGGCUGCUUUUCAAAUACAGGGCCUCCAGUUAACUUUGAAUUUCAGAUAAACAACAGAUAGUACUUUUAGUAAAAGUAUAUCCUGGGCGAUAUUUCAGGUAUACUUAUACUAAAUGUUUUUGUUAUUUUCUGGAAAUUUAAAUGUAAUUGGGUGCCCUGUGUUUUAUCUGGCAACUCUAUCCAGGUGACUUCACUUACUCUCUGAAGAUCUAGGGAGGCCUUGUCAGCAAGACAAAAGGGCUUCCUGGUCACACCAUUUCUUUUCUUAAAGGGACCUUCAGCUAUUUACAUAACAUAUGGCAGUCUCACACCCGUGCAAUUGUAAAUUAGAGCAAUUGUAAAUUAGAGCUUGCUUAUUCAUUGUCAAGUUUGGAACACGACCAUAUUUCUCAGCUGUCUUCAGUUCUCCAGCCUCAGAUUCAAUAAAUAUAUGUGUUGU